CCUACGGGAGGCAGCAGUGGGGGAUAUUGCACAAUGGGGGAAACCCUGAUGCAGCGACGCCGCGUGGGCGAAGAAGUAUUUCGGUAUGUAAAGCCCUAUCAGCAGGGAAGAAGAAAUGACGGUACCUGAGUAAGAAGCACCGGCUAAAUACGUGCCAGCAGCCGCGGUAAUAAGUAUGGUGCAAGCGUUAUCCGGAUUUACUGGGUGGAAAGGGAGCGCAGGCGGCAGGGCAAGCCUGAUGUGAAAGCCCGCGGCCCAACCGCGGGACUGCAUUGGGAACUACCGGGCUGGAGUGCCGGAGAGGUAGGCGGAAUUCCUAGUGUAGCGGUGAAAUGCGUAGAUAUUAGGAGGAACACCAGUGGCGAAGGCGGCCUACUGGACGGUAACUGACGCUGAGGCUCGAAAGCGUGGGGAGCAAACAGGAUUAGAUACCCUGGUAGUC
rnacentral:rRNA from 1 species